rnacentral:rRNA from 1 species
CCAAUAGCGUAUAUUAAAGUUGUUGCAGUUAAAAAGCUCGUAGUUGAACUUCGGGGUUUACUCAUUGGUCAGGCUUAAUUGUUUGUACUGGUGAGAUGAAUCUCUACCUUCUGAGGAACUUUCAUGCCAUUUAUUUGGUGUGAUUGGAAAUCAGGACUGUUACUUUGAAAAAAUUAGAGUGUUUAAAGCAGGCUAACGUCUGAAUACAUUAGCAUGGAAUAAUGAAAUAGGACGGAUUGAUUCUAUUUCGUUGGUUUCUAGGAUCACCGUAAUGAUUAAUAGGGAUAGUUGGGGGCAUUAGUAUUCAAUUGUCAGAGGUGAAAUUCUUGGAUUUAUUGAAGACUAACUACUGUGAAAGCAUUUGCCAAGGAUGUUUUCAUUAAUCAAGAACGAAAGUUAGGGGAUCGAAGACGAUCAGAUACCGUCGUAGUCUUAACCAUAAACUAUGCCGACUAGGGAUCGGACGAAGUUAAUUAAUAAUGACGCGUUCGGCACCUUACG